rnacentral:rRNA from 1 species
AGUAAUACAUAAGUAACCUGCCCUAGACAGGGGGAUAACUAUUGGAAACGAUAGCUAAGACCGCAUAGGUACGGACACUGCAUGGUGACCGUAUUAAAAGUGCCUCAAAGCACUGGUAGAGGAUGGACUUAUGGCGCAUUAGCUGGUUGGCGGGGUAACGGCCCACCAAGGCAACGAUGCGUAGCCGACCUGAGAGGGUGACCGGCCACACUGGGACUGAGACACGGCCCAG